rnacentral:rRNA from 1 species
AUGGAGGCUGUGGCGACGGCCGCGGCCACCUCCUUGGUGGAGUGGAUGGUGCCUAAACUCUUUGAUUCCUUGCUGGCAAAGCACGAGCUCCGGAAGAGUCUCAAGAUCGACAUCAACUACAUCAAGAACGAGUUUGCUAUGAUUUCGGCCGUCAUCCAUAAUGAUGAUCGCCGCAGCGGCUGCCGUGGCGGCCGUGAAGAUGUGAAUAUGGUGUGGAUUAAUAUGGUACGUGAAUUGGCGCACGCCAUAGAGGACUGCAUCGACCGCUUCAUGCACCGUGUGAGGGCCGACCAAGACACCGGGAGAGUGCGCCAGGCUUUCCACCGGGCAAAGACGAUGAAGGCCCGGAACAAGUUUGCUGCAGAGAUCCGACAGCUCAAGAAGAGAUCAGAGGAUGUAUUCAAGCUGAGAGACUCAUACAACAAUGCUAGCAGCAGCACCUCCUCACCAAGGCAGUCGUUGUCGUCUCAGCAGACAGACACGCCGACGGCAAUUGAGGACGACGAGGAUGGCACCCAUUCAGAGGCAUCCAUCGCCGUGCCCGUGGGUAUGGACACCCCCCGGGACGAGCUUCUGGAUCUGAUCCAGCAGGAGCAGAAGCUGAAAGUGAUUACCAUUGUGGGGUUCCAUGGUAUGGGGAAGACUCUUCUUGCAAAUCAUGUGUACAAGGCAAUUGAGAGCAAAAGCGAAUACGAAGCACGGGCUUGGGUCCCUCCAAGGAAACUAGGGGGGAGCGGGGCAGCCGCAGAUGUUCUCAAGGAGAUACUCUGGCAGCUUGGCCACCUUCCCCUGCCCACCAGUGGCGGUCUCACCCAGCUUAAGGCAAGCAUCAAAAAGUGCAUUGGCACCAAGAGGUUUUUCAUUGUAAUUGAUGACCUGCGGACAGUAGCAUACUGGCACGACAUGAAGAAGGCCUUCAUGGGGUUAAGCGGUAGAUUUCUAGUGACGACCGCCAUUCAGCACGUAGCAAAUACCUGCAGCAGCUCAGUUGUUCGUGAUCAUGUGUACACAAUGGCAACCCUUUCUGACCAACACUCAAGACAAUUGUUCUUCAAUGAAGCUUUCCAAGACGAUGAACCACCGCUGGAUGCAGAGGAGCUCGGCUCCGCAGCGCUCAAGAAAUGUGAUGGUCUUCCCCUUGCUCUUGUUACCACCGCCAGGUUCUUUCAAAGUGCAGGUAAUCCAACACCCAUGAAAUGGGCAAAAUUAUGCGCCGACCUGGGUACAUAUCUGGAGAGUGAUGAACUAUUUGCAAGAAUGAGGCGUGUGCUUGUCCAGAGCUACACCAGCCUUGAUAGCCAGGUUGCCAGGAUAUUUUUGCUCUAUUUGGGUACCUACCCAAGUGGUCGUCCUAUCAAGAAAAAAAGACUGUUAAGGAGAUGGUUAUCAGAAGGAUUAUCCCCAGGAGACAAUGCAUGUAGUGCCCUCAACACUGCUAUUAUCAAUUUCAAUAAGCUUGUCGACCGGAGUAUCAUCCAGCCUAUGGAUGCCAGUGGUAGCAGCACAGAGGUGAAGACAUGCCAUACCCAUGGCAUGAUGCUGGAGUUUGUCCUGCGCAAGUCCAUGUCCGACAACUUUGUUACCGUGUUGUACAAUCGGCAGUCUAACCCAUCCAUACCCAGUAACAUCCGCCGGCUUGCUCUGCAUCAUGCAAGGCCCAGAGAAGUGCAAGGUUUAACUCUUGUCCGGUCACUGACAAUCUUGGGAGAGGCGCACCCAUCUGUCCUGGACUUCUCCAAGUAUGAACUGCUGCGAGUUUUGGAUCUGGAAGAGUGCGUUGUAUCCUUGGGGGAUGGCCAUCUCAAGUUGAUAUGCACCAAACUGUUGCUGCUGAGGUACCUAUGCCUCGGGGCCGCUGUUAUUGCUACAGCGCUUCCAAAGGAGAUCAGCAAGCUUCAAGUAUUGGAUACACUAGAUGUGAGAAAUACAGCGAUAGAGAUUCUGCAAACACAAGUCCUGGAGCUGCCAUGUCUAGUUCAUCUCUUUGGGAAGUUCAAGCUCAAGCAAGAUGUAGGAGGCCGGACAAUGAGUAAGGUACAGACUUGGUUGUCAGUGAAGAGCAAAUUGGAAACAUUGGCAGGAUUUGUUUUGGACAACAGCAAGAGCCAAGAGUUUGCACAGCUCAUGUACAAUAUGAAUGAUUUGACAAAGGUGAAAAUACAGUGUGAGUCUACCGCCGACACCAGCAGCUCAAGUCAUCUCUCAAAGGCCAUCAAGGGGUUCAUUGAGAGAAGCACUGACUCCACAGGGACUCCAUCACUCUCACUCAAUUUUGAAGACGAGUUGACCCAAGACAUGCUGAAUUUCUCUCUGGAUAAGGGAAAGAAUCACUGCUGCUAUCUUGCCUCGCUCAAGCUGCAAGGAAGCAAGAUAUGCAGCCUUCCGUCCUUUGUUGCCUUUCUGGGUGGUCUCACUAAGCUAGGCCUUUCAUCCCCUCAGCUGAGCCUUAGCCAAGAUUUUCUUGCUACCCUGAGCAAAGUGCCUGGCCUGGCGCACCUGAAGCUGGUUGCAACUAGCCUGGGCAGGCUCGUCAUCACAAAAGGUACACUUAAGAGCCUGGUACGCCUAUCCAUUCUGGUGAAAUCCAUGAUUGGUCAGCUGGAAAUCCAAGAGGGAGCUUUACCACGCCUCAGGUCGAUGCAGCUGCUAUGCAAAGAUCUGGCUGGCUCUAUUUCUGGCACGUCAGCGGUCCAUUCCCUUGGGCAUCUUGACGAGAUUGCUCUCCAUCGUGAUGUGGGAGAUGAAACAAAAAAUGAGUGGAAAGAAGCAGCAAAGAACCUCCCAGGUCGACGCCCCAAGAUAUUGUUUCUCUAG